rnacentral:rRNA from 1 species
CCUACGGGAGGCAGCAGUGGGGAAUAUUGCGCAAUGGGGGCAACCCUGACGCAGCCAUGCCGCGUGUGUGAAGAAGGCCCUAGGGUUGUAAAGCACUUUCAAUUGGGAAGAAAGGUUUGUAGUUAAUAACUGCAAGCUGUGACAUUACCUUUAGAAGAAGCACCGGCUAACUCCGUGCCAGCAGCCGCGGUAAU